rnacentral:rRNA from 1 species
CCUACGGGGGGCAGCAGUGGGGAAUAUUGCACAAUGGGGGAAACCCUGAUGCAGCGACGCCGCGUGAGUGAAGAAGUAUUUCGGUAUGUAAAGCUCUAUCAGCAGGGAAGAAAAAAGACGGUACCUGACUAAGAAGCCCCGGCUAACUACGUGCCAGCAGCCGCGGUAAUACGUAGGGGGCAAGCGUUAUCCGGAUUUACUGGGUGUAAAGGGAGCGUAGACGGAGAAGCAAGUCUGAAGUGAAAGCCCGUGGCUUAACCACGGGACUGCUUUGGAAACUGUUUGACUAGAGUGCUGGAGAGGUA